rnacentral:rRNA from 1 species
GACGAACGCUGGCGGCGUGCCUAAUACAUGCAAGUCGAGCGGACGGAUGGGAGCUUGCUCCCAGACCGUCAGCGGCGGACGGGGGAGUAACACGUGGGCAACCUGCCGUAAGACUGGGAUAACUCCGGGAAACCGGGGCGAAUACCGGAUAACUCUUUCCCUCACAUGAGGGAAAGCUGAAAGAUGGCAUCUCGCUAUCACUUACAGAUGGGCCCGCGGCGCAUUAGCUAGUUGGUGAGGUAACGGCUCACCAAGGCGACGAUGCGUAGCCGACCUGAGAGGGUGAUCGGCCACACUGGGACUGAGACACGGCCCAGACUCCUACGGGAGGCAGCAGUAGGGAAUCUUCCGCAAUGGACGAAAGUCUGACGGAGCAACGCCGCGUGAGUGAUGAAGGUUUUCGGAUCGUAAAACUCUGUUGUCAGGGAAGAACAAGUAUCGGAGUAACUGCCGGUACCUUGACGGUACCUAACCAGAAAGCCACGGCUAACUACGUG